GGAAACAUCGUCCCCAAGGUCCUCUGCUGAUCUCACCUGGGGUAGUGUAUGCACCCAGGUACCCCCUUCUGGCUACAGUGGCAUUUUGUAGCUUUUAUGGGACUCACCAAGGCUGCUCAAGCCCUGUGUUCUGAAAAAGCAAAACAAUUAUUUCUUUCUCCCCCCGCAAAUCAUCAGUGAUCGAGAGGUGGACAGCUGCUGAAAGGAACAAGACUCUUGUGGUGGUAUAAAGAACACAGAGAAGCAAAAGGUUUUGUACAGCACCAUGUAACUGAACAGCAUGCAUUUUCCAGGAAAGAACAUUUCUGUGCCAGCUGCAUGUCUGAUUAGAGUCAUAUGGGGCAGCCGAGCUAGGUGUUUUGUCCAGGGAGCAGCUUGUACCUUUGUGCCCAGUCAUCCCAGCUCAAACCAGGCUCCUUCCCAGAAAGCCCCAGCGGCUGGAUGCACAUAUGGCUCUGAGCAAACAGGACAGAUGGCUGCUGGCAAGGGCCACUGCUGAGGCAUAUGCUCUUUUGAUGUCCCUCUGCUCUUCGUGGGUCCGACACGGCGAGUUGCCACAUCUGUGCUGCAGAAGCGCAGCACCUCUGUGAUGUGCCAUUGCCUCUCACAGCUGCGUGUAGCCACAGGAACCGGGGCAAAUACAGGACUGGAAAGGACCUGACUAAGGUGGCAGCUGUUUCAGGCCCCCUGGGGCUCCUGCUACCAUCCCUAGGCAGCGAGACACCCAACUCCUGCACUCCUCUGCCCACAGCCUCAGCCCCACUGAAGAGAAGCACAGCAUCUCCGAUCUUCUGGGAAACCUCCUGACUGACCAACAGCUACGGGAGCCUGACUGGCCUGUGGGCUCCUCCUGGCAACCUGGCUCAUAGCUCGGAGAAGUAAAGUCUUGGCAUCAUCUAAGAAGAGAAAAAGCAAGUUUCUGAGCUU
rnacentral:lncRNA from 1 species